rnacentral:rRNA from 1 species
UACGAAGGGUACAAGCGUUGUUCGGAAUUACUGGGCGUAAAGCGCGCGUAGGCGGAUAAGUAAGUCGAUUGUGAAAUCCCUGGGCUUAACCUGGGAACUGCAGUCGAAACUGCUUAUCUUGAGUGCCUGAGAGGAUGGCGGAAUUCCCGGUGUAGUAGUGAAAUACGUAGAUAUCGGGAAGAACACCUGAGGCGAAGGCGGCUAUCUGGCGGUGCACUGACGCUAAGGCGCGAAAGCGUGGGGAGCAAACAGG